CCUACGGGGGACAGCAGUGAGGAAUAUUGGUCAAUGGGCGCGAGCCUGAACCAGCCAAGUAGCGUGAAGGAUGACUGCCCUCCGGGUUGUAAACUUCUUUUAUAAAGGAGUUAAGUGAGGCACGUGUGCCUGUUUGUAUGUACUUUAUGGUUCCAGAUCGGUUAACACCGUGUCAGCAGCCACGGUAAUACGGAGGUUCCGAGCGUUAACCGGAUAUAUGGGGUUUAAAGGGUGCGUAGAUGGGUUGUUAAGUCAGUUGGGAAAGGGUGAGGAUCAACCGUAAAAUUGCAAUUGAUACUGGCAGUCUUGAGUGCAGUUGAGGGAGGCGGAAUUCGUGGUGUAGCGGUGAAAUGCUUAGAUAUCACGAAGAACUCCGAUUGCGAAGGCAGCUUACUAAACUGCAACUGACACUGAUGCUCGAAAGUGUGGGUAUCAAACAGGAUUAGAUACCCUAGUAGUC
rnacentral:rRNA from 1 species